rnacentral:rRNA from 1 species
AGUGAACGCUGGCGGUAGGCCUAACACAUGCAAGUCGAACGGCAGCACAGUAAGAGCUUGCUCUUACGGGUGGCGAGUGGCGGACGGGUGAGGAAUACAUCGGAAUCUACUUUUUCGUGGGGGAUAACGUAGGGAAACUUACGCUAAUACCGCAUACGACCUACGGGUGAAAGCAGGGGAUCUUCGGACCUUGCGCGAUUGAAUGAGCCGAUGUCGGAUUAGCUAGUUGGCGGGGUAAAGGCCCACCAAGGCGACGAUCCGCAGCUGGUCUGAGAGGAUGAUCAGGCACACUGGAACCGAGACACGGUCCAGACUCCUACGGGAGGGAGCAGUGGGGAAUAAUGGAAAAUGGGCGGAAGCCUGAUCCAGCCCUACCGCGUGGGUGAAGAAGGCCUUCGGGUUGGAAAGCCCUUUUGUUGGGAAAGAAAAGCAGCAGGUUAAUACCCCGCUGUUCUGACGGUACCCAAAGAAUAAGCACCGGCUAACUUCGUG